UAACCUCUGCCGCGUGCGUGGCGUCUGAGACAGUUUUGAGCCUACACCAAUCACUGAGGGAACCUAACCUAGAACAGGGACGAAUGCAAAAGUAUGCCCUCACGGGCAGCGGACUUGUCCCAGCUUUUGCGACGCGAGAGUUCCGGGCGGUGCCCACCUGCUUUUAGCGGGUUCAACAACUUGACGAGGCACGGCGUAGCGGAGUCUGA
rnacentral:other from 1 species